GUUGUCCGAUUUGUUCGUGUUUU
rnacentral:rRNA from 1 species